CAGUCGCCGCGGUAAUACGAAGGGUGCAAGCGUUACUCGGAAUUACUGGGCGUAAAGCGUGCGUAGGCGGCUUCUUAAGUCGGAUGUGAAAUCCCUGAGCUUAACUUAGGAAUUGCAUUCGAUACUGGGAAGCUAGAGUAUGGGAGAGGAUGGUAGAAUUCCUGGUGUAGCGGUGAAAUGCGUAGAGAUCUGGAGGAAUACCGAUGGCGAAGGCAGCCAUCUGGCCUAAUACUGACGCUGAGGUACGAAAGCAUGGGGAGCAAACAGGAUUAGAUACCCCCGUAGUCCCUGUCUCUUAUAC
rnacentral:rRNA from 1 species